UACAGAGGUCUCAAGCGUUGUUCGGAUUCAUUGGGCGUAAAGGGUGCGUAGGCGGCGCGGUAAGUCGGGUGUGAAAUCUCGGAGCUUAACUCCGAAACUGCAUUCGAUACUGCCGUGCUUGAGGACUGGAGAGGAGACUGGAAUUUACGGUGUAGCGGUGAAAUGCGUAGAUAUCGGGAGGAACACCAAUGGCGAAGGCAGCUCGCUGGGACGGUACUGACGCUGAGGCGCGGAAGCGUGGGGAGCAAACAGG
rnacentral:rRNA from 1 species